UACGAAGGGUGCAAGCGUUACUCGGAAUUACUGGGCGUAAAGCGUGCGUAGGUGGUUUGUUAAGUCUGAUGUGAAAGCCCUGGGCUCAACCUGGGAACGGCAUUGGAAACUGGCUUACUAGAGUGCGGUAGAGGGGUGUGGAAUUCCCGGUGUAGCAGUGAAAUGCGCAGAUAUCAGGAGGAACACCAAUGGCGAAGGCAGCUCGCUGGAACGGUACUGACGCUGAGGCGCGAAAGCGUGGGGAGCGAACAGG
rnacentral:rRNA from 1 species